rnacentral:rRNA from 2 species
UAGGGAAUCUUCCGCAAUGGACGAAAGUCUGACGGAGCAACGCCGCGUGAGUGAGGAAGGCCUUCGGGUCGUAAAGCUCUGUUGUGAGGGAAGAAGCGGUACCGUUCGAAUAGGGCGGUACCUUGACGGUACCUCACCAGAAAGCCACGGCUAACUACGUGCCAGCAGCCGCGGUAAUACGUAGGUGGCAAGCGUUGUCCGGAAUUAUUGGGCGUAAAGCGCGCGCAGGCGGCUUCUUAAGUCUGAUGUGAAAUCUCGGGGCUCAACCCCGAGCGGCCAUUGGAAACUGGGGAGCUUGAGUGCAGAAGAGGAGAGUGGAAUUCCACGUGUAGCGGUGAAAUGCGUAGAGAUGUGGAGGAACACCAGUGGCGAAGGCGACUCUCUGGUCUGUAACUGACGCUGAGGCGCGAAAGCGUGGGGAGCAAACAGG